GACGGGAGCUUGCUCCUUGGAKUCAGCGGCGGACGGGUGAGUAAAGSCUAGGAAUCUGCCUGGUAGUGGGGGACAACGUUUUGAAAGGAACGCUAAUACCGCAUACGUCCUACGGGAGAAAGCAGGGGACCUUCGGGCCUUGCGCUAUCAGAUGAGCCUASGUCGGAUUAGCUUGUUGGUGAGGUAAUGGSUCACCAAGGCGACGAUCCGUAACUGGUCUGAGAGGAUGAUCAGUCACACUGGAACUGAGACACGGUCCAGACUCCUACSGGAGGCAGCAGUGGGGAAUAUUGGACAAUGGGCGAAAGCCUGAUCCAGCCAUGCCRCGWGUGKGAAGAAGGUCUUCGGAUUGUAAAGCACUUUAAGUUGGGAGGAAGGGCAGWAAGCUAAUACCUUGCUGUUUUGACGUUACCAACAKAAUAAGGACCGGAUAACUCUGUGCCAAMAUCCGCGGWAAUACAGGGGGGGCCAGCGUUAAUCGGAAUUACUGGGYAAAAAGCCCGGGUAAGUGGUUUGGUAAGGUGCCUGGSAAAUCCCCGGG
rnacentral:rRNA from 1 species